rnacentral:lncRNA from 1 species
GCCCAGAGUCGGGGAGCUGACGUGGAGAAACAGAAGAGGUGAAGGUGAGCUGGCUGGUGGUGGAGCAGACUGCUGAGUGAAGCCCUAGGGCCCCACAGAGGAGCUGUCUGGAUGCUCAGUCCAAAGAACCACAGCUGGAACAGCCCAGGACCUCAGGCCCCUCCAGGACAGAAGGGACAACUAGUCUUGGUCCUCCCAUAACUACUGAAGCGGAGCCAGAAAGCCUGACUUUGCAUGAAAUCCUCUGGUUUCUAUACUGGGAUUGGCUCAAACAGGUUCCCUGCACUUAGAGCGUGGACUGUGAACCCCCAAGCAGACGGCAGCUUCCUCCACUGUUUCAGGCUCUGUUCUGGGCUUUCCACUGCCUGGGCUUAUUCAACCCUCACACAA